AUCCAUCUGACGAGUCCCAAAUAGGACGAAACGCGCGUUCUGGAU
rfam:Schistosoma mansoni strain Puerto Rico chromosome 2, complete genome